rnacentral:rRNA from 1 species
AGUGAACGCUGGCGGUAGGCCUAACACAUGCAAGUCGAACGGCAGCACAGUAAGAGCUUGCUCUUACGGGUGGCGAGUGGCGGACGGGUGAGGAAUACAUCGGAAUCUACUUUUUCGUGGGGGAUAACGUAGGGAAACUUACGCUAAUACCGCAUACGACCUACGGGUGAAAGCAGGGGAUCUUCGGACCUUGCGCGAUUGAAUGAGCCGAUGUCGGAUUAGCUAGUUGGCGGGGUAAAGGCCCACCAAGGCGACGAUCCGUAGCUGGUCUGAGAGGAUGAUCAGCCACACUGGAACUGAGACACGGUCCAGACUCCUACGGGAGGCAGCAGUGGGGGAUAUUGGACAAUGGGCGCAAGCCUGAUCCAGCCAUACCGCGUGGGUGAAGAAGGCCUUCGGGUUGUAAAGCCCUUUUGUUGGGAAAGAAAAGCAGCAGGUUAAUACCCCGCUGCUCUGACGGUACCCAAAGAAUAAGCACCGGCUAACUUCGUG